UGGGGAANCUUCCGCAAUGGGCGAAAGCCUGACGGAGCAAUACCGCGUGAGGGAGGAACGCCUUUGGGUUGUAAACCUCCUUUCUCAGGGAAGAAGAUCUGACGGUACCUGAGGAAUAAGUAUCGGCUAACUCCGUGCCAGCAGCCGCGGUAAUACGGAGGAUGCAAGCGUUAUCCGGAAUCGUUGGGCGUAAAGCGUCCGCAGGUGGUUUCCAAAGUCUGCUGUUAAAGACUGGAGCUCAACUCCGGAGCGGCGGUGGAAACUUGGAAACUAGAGUUCGGUAGGGGUAGCAGGAAUUCCCAGUGUAGCGGUGAAAUGCGUAGAUAUUGGGAAGAUCAUCGGUGGCGAAGGCGUGCUACUGGACCGUAACUGACACUCAGGGACGAAAGCCAGGGGAGCGAAAGGGAUUAGAUACCCCUGUAGUCCUAGCUGUAAACGAUGGAAACUAGGUGUGGCUUGA
rnacentral:rRNA from 1 species